GGCUACGUAGCUCAGGUGGUUAGAGCACAGCACUCAUAAUGCUGGUGUCGGUGGUUCGAGUCCACCCGUAGCCACCA
rnacentral:tRNA from 1 species